rnacentral:rRNA from 1 species
AGUGAACGCUGGCGGUAGGCCUAACACAUGCAAGUCGAACGGCAGCACAGUAAGAGCUUGCUCUUACGGGUGGCGAGUGGCGGACGGGUGAGGAAUAAAUCGGAAUCUACUUUUUCGUGGGGGAUAACGUAGGGAAACUUACGCUAAUACCGCAUACGACCUACGGGUGAAGGCAGGGGAUCUUCGGACCUUGCGCGAUUGAAUGAGCCGAUGUCGGAUUAGCUAGUUGGCGGGGUAAAGGCCCACCAAGGCGACGAUCCGUAGCUGGUCUGAGAGGAUGAUCAGCCACACUGGAACUGAGACACGGUCCAGACUCCUACGGGAGGCAGCAGUGGGGAAUAUUGGACAAUGGGCGCAAGCCUGAUCCAGCCAUACCGCGUGGGUGAAGAAGGCCUUCGGGUUGUAAAGCCCUUUUGUUGGGAAAGAAAAGCAGCAGGUUAAUACCCCGCUGUUCUGACGGUACCCAAAGAAUAAGCACCGGCUAACUUCGUG